AUACUAUCCGAUUUUAUUUGGUUUAAUUUUUCCUAUGUUUUACUUCUUUUCAAUGUGUGGAAUGAUUCUUGGAUAUCUUUUGUGAUUCAAGGAUACAUUUGAUCAUUUGAGAUAAUUUCACAUAAUUGAUUGCUUGGGUUUUUAUUUAUCAAAACGUUGGAUAUUCAUUGUGUUUCGUUCUACGGAUACAUUUGAUGAUUUGGUUAAAACCGGAUAUCUUUUGUGAUUUGUGCAAAGAACGGAUUCAUUGAAUGAUUUAAAGAUUUUUUGAAGCAUAGUAGAACAUACAUAAGAUUUGUAUGGUGAGAACUUCGGAUGUAUAUUGAUGAAUAUGAGAAUAUGUUGCUAUGAUUUGGUGAGUGUGGAUUCCAAAACCUUAGUACCUUUUCUUUUGUUUUAUUUUGGUUUUAUUUUAUUUAUGUUUUUUUCUUUUUCUUUUUAUCAAAAAUCAAACCUUUUUUGGAACUAGGUUAAGAUUUAAUUAGUUUAGACAUAAAUUUGUUUUUCAAAAACACAAUUCCCUGUGGGAUCAACCUCACACUUGCAAAACCCUUUAUUGCAAACGAUUCGUACACUUGCGAGUAUAAUUAAAAUUCACAUCAUAUACUAAACCUUAAUUAUACAAAAACAACCCUAACCAUCAAAUCUAUAGUGUCACCCAGAAGUACUAGUUACCAUGUGCAACCUCUGAGAUUCUGCAAUGUGUCCUUAAGUGAUAGCCCGAGUAACAUCUUAUGUCGAAUGGUCGCAUCUGCCUCAAUAUCCUUUCUACUCAACCCUAGUGCGCUCCUUUGUACAACACUGAAAUGUUUCCUUGGUGGAGAAAAAUAAGGGGAAAACACUCCAGAGAGGUUAUGGAGGGGGAGAGUCCGCCGCUCAUGUCGCCGGCAGAAAGACUUGGUGUGCUUCAGUUUUUUAUCAUUCUUUGAGGCCAGAUUUGCGCUGUUCCGCCGCCCUCUAGUCGACACGCACCCCCCAGCUUUGCUCGCCACCGUCCUCUGGUUCAGCCACUACUUGCUACGGUUGAAAGGCUCACCGGUGAUCGGCAUGUGGUCAUCACGAGCCAGGGUGUUCUUCACACCUUGGGCCCCACGUGAGAGCCACGUUCCGUCUCUUUUGCCGUGUCUUGUGGCGCCCGGGGGUUUAUGGUGUUCGACUGCUACAAGGGAUCUUUCGGUAGCGGCGCGUGUGCUACACAAGCCAUCUCCGGUGGUGUUUUCUUCCAACGACAGCUUAUAUUUUGGGUGUUUUCUUGUAUUUGACAAUUUGCUCUGUGUUAGAUUUAGCAUGGUCAUUACUUCUUAGCACAAAUUGUUUGUGACUGACUCCAUAGUGCAAGUAGAGGUUCAUAUGUUAAUGCAGAUGCACCUUUAUGUUGGCUAAAUUUAUUUGUAGCAACUGUCGGUAUGAUCUGAGUUCUGGGAUAACUGAAGUGGGGUACUUGUAUUGUUCUGAUUCCUUGUAAUGGUCUGAUUUUGACUCAGUUUGGCUAUAACUGUGUUACCCUUUGGGUGUAUUAAUGAAAUGAUUACAUUUUCCCUUCAAAAAAAAAAAGGGAGAGA